rnacentral:tRNA from 3 species
GCCCGGGUGGUGUAGUCUGGAAAGCCUCCACCAGAAACACAUCGGCCUGUGGAGCCGAAAAACCCGGGUUCAAAUCCCGGCCCGGGCC